UGGUCACGUACAUUUGUAUAUCAUCAUGAUCAACACUGUAUUUUCCUGAGUUUUAGUCGUCUUUAGCAUUUCUACAGAAGUAAAGCGUUUCCAUGUUUUAAUUUCCCAGUUACCCUCAGAAGACUUGUGAGGCAGGCUGAAUAAUUCCUUUGUGGCAAGGGGAAACUGGAUGUGGCGUUUUGCAUUUCCAUGUGGAUCGUGACCGUCCCCAGGGCGGGAGAGCUCUUGCAGCCAAACCCAGCAGCAAGGAGGGGGACAGAGCAGAGCCCGGUGAUGUUCCUUCACAUAUCCCAGCCAAGGGAGAUCAACAAGACAAGCCAAGAGUCCCACACCUGACAGAGAAAGUGAAGUCUGAAAUGGCACUUCCUUGCUGGUGGCUAUGGAAGUCAAAGGCAGGAAAGCCUGGAGAAAUGAAGAUGAAAUCCUGCAAAUAAAGCAGAUUAGUAGGCCUAGCUUUGCCAGCUGAUACGGUUUUAUCGUGGACUUGCAACUUCAAAAAAAAGUCCCGGCUCCUGCAGACAUGAGAAUGUCAGCUUUAAUUUUCUUAAGUGAAUUGCUAGAACUUGCAGUUGCUGAGAGGAGAUGGAAAACAACUUCCGAGUGCUAAAAAACCCAGAAAACAAAUAAAAAAUAACAUGGCUAA